CUGCCUGCAUCUCAAGGCUCAACUGGGGGCGGAUCCUUUUCCAAGCUCACUCCCUGGCUGUUGGCAAGUCUCAGGUUCUCACUGGCUAUUGGUCAGAGGCCUUGCUGGGGUCCAGGCGUGUAGGCGUCUCCAUAGGGCAGCUCAUGACACGGCAGCUGGCUUUUCCCAGAGUAAGAGAGAGUGAGGGACUGCAAGAAGGGCAGAAGGCACAGGCAUUUUACACCAGUUUCAGAAGUGCCCUCCCAUCACUUUUGUUGUAUUCUAUUUGUUAGAAGCAAGUCCCUAGGCCCACUGUACCCUGGAGGGGGCAGAUUACAAAAGGCAUGAAUGCUGGGAAGUAGAGGGUCAUCGGGAGCCAUUUCCAAGGCGGCCUUCUCACCAUGACUCAGCCCAUAGCUGCGCUGAAUUUCUCAGAGCAGGAGAUCUCCAUCCUGCUUGUUUGGCAUGGGGUGUCCAGCACAGGAGCUUCAUGGUCGUUGAGUGGAGCUGGGUCUUAGCGUCGAGACGGAGAUCCCUGGGAGAGCUCUCACCGAUUGAUAUUACAUGGGGCCAGGAGGUCUCUGGUGGAUGAAUGUCCUGAACUCAGCUCUCCCACCUCGGAGGCUCAGGCCUGACACCCGGCCAGAGCACCAAGACCCUGUCAGCCACACUGCUCCCAAGUCUACUGUUGCUCCCAAAGUCCACUGUCUCAAUUUGGGAUGAUUCGCUGUCUAUUCAGGUAUUCCAUAGAUGCAGGGUACAUCAAGUUGAUUGUGGAGCUUUAAUCCAGCUGCUCCUGAGGCUGCCUGGAGAGAUUUCCCUUUCUCUUCUUUGUUCGCACAGCUCCUGGGGUUCAGCUUUGGAUUUGGCCCCGCCUUUGCAUUGUGGUCCAUGGACUGGAAGCCUCAGCAUCACUUGGGCACUUGUGAGAAAUGCAGAAUCUCAAGCUCUGCUCCAGAUCUACAGAAUCAGAAUCUGUUUGCAAACAAGAGCCUCAGAUGUUUUGUACCUUCAUUAAUGUUUGAGAAACACUGAAU